AUUGAACGCUAGCGGGAUGCCUUACACAUGCAAGUCGAACGGCAGCGGGAAGAAAGCUUGCUUUCUUUGCCGGCGAGUGGCGAACGGGUGAGUAAUGUAUCGGAACGUGCCCAGUAGCGGGGGAUAACUGGCCGAAAGGUCAGCUAAUACCGCAUACGCCCUACGGGGGAAAGGGGGGGAUUCUUCGGAACCUCUCACUAUUGGAGCGGCCGAUAUCGGAUUAGCUAGUUGGUGGGGUAAUGGCCUACCAAGGCGACGAUCCGUAGCUGGUUUGAGAGGACGACCAGCCACACUGGGACUGAGACACGGCCCAGACUCCUACGGGAGGCAGCAGUGGGGAAUUUUGGACAAUGGGGGAAACCCUGAUCCAGCCAUGCCGCGUGUGUGAAGAAGGCCUUCGGGUUGUAAAGCACUUUCAGUGGUGAGGAAGGCCUGUUGGUUAAUAUCCAACAGGAUUG
rnacentral:rRNA from 1 species